rnacentral:lncRNA from 1 species
UGAUGUGAAUUUUUCCAAGGGCACUGAAGCUGUCAGAAUGUGUGUAGCCAUUUUAGAACUGUUGAUAACCCCUGAAGAAAACAUCUUGCACCAUUAAGACUGUGUAGCAUCUACUUACUGCUUAAGAAGGUGUCUGCCCUUGCAUAAAGUGACAUAGGAGUAUCAUUGGUCAAGGCAAUGGCUUUCAGUGUUUCUGCUUUGAAAGAAAAG